GUCAGUAAUUUUAUCAGCUUGACUACGAUUCCUGACAAGUCCACCAUUCAUUUUGUUGACUCCAGAACCAAUGUUCUCUUCUUCAAAAGCUUUCCCCUUUAUUCCAAACAUAUCCAGGGAAUCUUUAGCAUGAGCAAGAUUUCUUUUAAGCCAAUAGUUCUAUCAAUGCUUUCAAUAUAUUCUAAUACAUAGGACUUCGUUGAGCAAUUCGAGUCUUCUACUCUUGGUUUCAUUGAAAUCCUCUGAGUCUGAAUUCAUGCUGCUAGUAUGAUCCCUCAACCAUCGUCCAUCACUCGUUGCCCUCCCAUUUUCCUUCUAAAUCAGCAUGCAGACACUUACUUUUCCACCCACCUUAUGAUUGAACUCUCUAAUUCUCCUCCUCUGUAAUCAAGCUCAACAUUAACUACAUCUUCUUGACCAGAGCAUCCAUCACUAUUUCACCAAACUCAUCACUUUCCAUGACUCCAGACACCUUUUCUCGUUGUUAAACCUCUCAAAUCCACAUUGCUUUCAUGUCUUACUGAUGAAGGGGCAUCACUCUCCUCUAAAUCACCCUUCAAAUUAUAGCAUGCGCAUGACUUUCUUUGCCAUCCACAUUAUGACUGAACUCUCUAAUUCUUCCCCCUCUGUAAUCAAGCUCUGCGUUAACUACAUCUUCCUCACCACUGGGUCCAUUAGCAUUCUCGCCAAACUCAUCACUUUCCAUGAUUUUGGACACCUUCACUCGAUCCUUAAACCCCCUCAAUUUUACACUCCUUUCAUCUCUUUCCAACAAUGGCGCAUCUUCCCUCUAAAUCAUCCUUCAACUUAUAACUAUUUGACUUAUGUACUUGAUUCUUUUCUUCCAGUCUUAACAGACUCCAUAGCCUUCAAAUACUCACCAAAGAUGGUUUAAAUUCUAACUCUUUCUCAAUAACCCCACCACCACCAACCAACCGAUUAUCAGACUCGUCUUUUUGCAAUGCCUUAACUCUUAAACCAACAACUCUCAUUGCUUUUCCCACGCUUGCUCUUCAAUGGAAACCAGAAAUUGGAGGUCUCCAAGAAUUCAAAGGCCCACAUGAAGAAUAUGGUUUCCAGCUACAAUUACAGGUUAAGUUCCCAUUUCUUUCAAAACCAGAUAAACCGUUUUGCCCAUUUGUCAUAAUUAUCACCUCCAUAUUAUCAAUUCACACGACACAGUCUCACAAGCCAAGUAAACCUCUAUCUUGGAGUCACUAAAAAAGAUUCCCUAGCUUUGCCUAUGAUUGAAAAAUUACAUUAUCAUAAUAAAAAGUUGAUCUUUUUCGAUAACAUACUGAAAAUUGACCUUCAAUAAUCUGAAUUUGUGAAUAAAAACAAAAUAUAACCAAGAGAAUUACAAAAGAAACCAAUGUUACUUACAAAGCUCCCAGGAAGAAAAGAAGCAUGAGAAGAUGCUAAAAUACUAUAAAGUCGAGUUCUUUUUAAGGUUUUGUUUCACUCACUGUUUUCAGUGCUUGUGGUCGAGACAUACAUGAUGACAACCUUUUACAAGGAACUUAUCGUGGCACAAUCCAAACUAGCAGUUCUGCCUGUUUGCCCAAUAGAAGCCGAUGUCUGUCAUUUGGCCUCUGGAUUAUAUAGGUGUUUAUCUAAGGGCUACUCAUUUAUUGGGCCCAAAGAGUACCUUUCAGAUUCUCCUACUUCCACUUGUGAAACCCAAACAAAAAAUCAACACAAGACCCAGAUUUUAAAUUAGAAAAAUCAACCCAAUUGAUCUUAUUUUUUUAGCCAAAAGAAUCAAAAACAACGUUUAACUGAUUGAAAAUUGGAGUUUUGAUUAGGUCAAAAUCUAGGAUUAUUAAGUUUUUUUUUAUUUGAUGGUAAAAGUAUUCUCAAACUAGAUUGUACAUCAACAGAAACUAUAAGUAUUCUCAAAUGAUGUUAAUGUCUUGUUUGUUUUUAGAAAUUUAUUUUCCUGAAAACUAUUUUUCACACUUUUUCAUGUUUUAUAAACAUAAAUAAAGUUGGUCAAGGAAACUGAAUUACAAUCAAAGAAAAAAAGAAUGAUUUAUGGCAGGAAAGUGUUUUCCUUUCCUUAUUCUAAGGAAAACACUUUUCUUUUCUUUGUUGACAAAACGUGUACUGUCCAAAAUACAAAUUUCUAACUCUCUUUCUCUCUCAAAUCUCUUACAGAACAAUUAAAGCAUCUCUCAGCUCUUCUUUCAGGUAAUUUUUUUUCCUCAAAUGUCUUUAUUUAUCUUAUGUUUUCAUCCUUUUUAUUUUUAAUCUGUAGUUAUAAUAAUGGCAUAAAUGUUUGUGAUAUAUUUGCUGCAUUUUUUUCAUGAUUUAUCUUGUUAAUUUACUGCAGCCAAUGCUCCGUAUUUUUUUCCAGAAACCAAACAAAACAACACACCCAUUCAACCAUAACAAACCCAAUUUUUUUCCUAGAAACCAAACACAGCAAACCCAUACACAAACACAGCAAACUCAGAGAAUCACCAUUCCUUCGUUUCGCCACUUAAAGAAUCACAGCAAACUCAAAGAAUCACCAUUCCUUCGUUAAGUUGAAGGCGUCUUUCGUUUCGCCAUUCCUUCCAUGUUGAGCCACCACUCUUCGUCAAGCAACCCAUACAUAGCAAACACAAACCCCUACAUUUUUCCUAGAAACCAAACACAGCAACCUAUACACAGCAAACCCAAACCCAUUUUUCUCUUGCUGUGAUUUUUUCAUAGAAACCUGGUUUGCUGUGUUUUUUUUCACAGAAACCAAACAAAACAUUUUGUUUGGUUUCUGUGAAAAAAACACAGCAAACCCAUGCUCUAUUUCUUCUUUUGUUUAAUCGAAAAGAUAUGCUUUCAAUUCCCCUCCAUCUCUUCAUCUUCCUCUCCUUUUCUUCAAUUGCUUCUCUUCUAGAAGAACCCGACCCACCCAAUGUCCCCUUCCCAAAUCUGCUACCUUUGGCUCUCCUUCUCCUUCUCUUAUGCUUUCCUGUAAAUGCUUUCCUUCUCUGUUGAUGAUAUGUGUUUCAUGUGUUUUCUAGGCGUGAUGUGCGUGCAUUGAUGAUGAUGCACAGUGAUGUUGUGUGCGUUAAUGAUGAUGAUGAUGCACAGUAAUGAAAGGGGAAUUGGUUUGGGUAGAAAUCUUAGACCGUGAAAUAUUAUGUGCAUUGAUGAUGAUGAUUAUACACAGUAAUGAAAAACUGAAAUGGUUUGGGUAGAAAACUUGAGACCAUUAAAUAUUUAUAUACAUAAUUCAUUAAUAAAUUAUUGUAUUGUUUGUUUUGGGAUACAGAAUUCAUCAUAUAAUUAUUUUCUUUUAAGGCAUUGUUUGUUUUGGGAAUCAGCUUCUUUGAGCAUAAUUUAUUGUAUUGAUUAUGUAAGUAUUUUAUAUACUUUUGUAAUGUUUAUUUCCCUAAAUUUUUAGGUUUUGUUAGCAGAAAACUUUACUUUUUUGUUAUGGAUAGUAAGAUUAUUCAUACAGCAUGUAUGGGAGCAGCUGUAAUUGUGAUAGUUAUAGGAGUAGCUAUUAUUGAACAAGAAAGAAAUAAAAUUAUAUACAAAGAGAACCACGUAUAGAUGAAAUUGCUCAAUGAGAAUUCUAUAUGGAUAGCAUUUUGAAUCGAGGUGAUAGACAUUGCAUUGAACAAAUUUGUAUGAAACCAGUUGUCUUAUAUAAUUUGUGUGAUGUUCUCACAAGUCAUGACCUAUUACGAUCAACUCAAAAUAUGUCUAUUAGGGAGCAAGUAAUUGUGUUCUUACAAAUUGUAGACCAAAACCAAAGAUUUCAUUUUAUUAGUGGUAUAUAUUAUAGGUCUGUUGAAAUUAUCUAUCGUUACUUUAGAAUUGUUUUAAAAGCAGUUCAUAAGUUAUACAAACACCUAAUUAAAGACCCAGGGGAUAUAGUUCCCGUAGAGAUAAUGAAUAAUCGAAGAUUCUAUCCUUAUUUUAAGGUAUGAGAACAAUACCAAUAUUUUUAUACAGUAAUUAAUUACAUCUAAAAGAAAAGGUUGUAAAUUAUUUUUUCAUGUUUAUACAGGAUUGUGUGGGAGCAAUUGAUGGUACCCAUGUUCCUGCAAAUGUUCCUGUUGAGAUUCAAGGGAAGUUUCGAAGUUGAAAAGAAGGAACAACACAAAAUGUUUUAGCAGUUAUAACUUUUGAUUUGAAGUUUAUAUAUGUUUUAGCUGGCUGGGAAGGAAGUGUACAUGAUUCACAGGUUUUUGAUGAUGCAUUAUCAAGACCUAAUGGUCUAAAAAUUCCAGAAGGUAUAUAAUAAAGUAUUUAUUAUAUGCAAUAAACAUAUAAAAUGUUUAAUUAGCUAAAGAUAGUAAUAAGUUUUUUUUUUCUAAUUUGUAAGGAAAUAUUAUCUGGGUGAUGCUGGUUACGAUAUUCGAAAAGGAAUCAUUUAUCUUUUUCGUGGAGUUCGAUAUCACUUGAAUGAGUUUACAGAACAUUCACCAGAAAAUGAAAAUGAGCUAUUUAAUCUUCGACACUCUUUGUUGAGAACUGCUAUUGAGCGAGGGUUUGGUAUUUUGAAGAGUCGUUUAGAUCAAUUGAUGGAAAAUCUUUUUGGUCUUAUGAAACAAAGGUAAAUGUUGUGCUUGCAUGUUGUAUUAUUCAUAAUCACAUUAUGGGAGUUGAUCCUUAUGACUUUUUUAUGGAAGAAAUAUAUUCAGAAAGUGAACCAAAUAGACGAACAAUCAACUUAAGUCAACGGAAGGAGAGGGAAGAUAAUAGGGAGUGGAUAACAAAAAGAGAAAUGAUUGCAUCAACCAUGUGGAAUGAUUAUAACACUCAAAGAAACUAGUAAUUAAGUGUUAAUUAUAUAUGUUUGUUUUUAUUAUGUCUUGCUUGAGUUUGUAUUAUCUUUGUUAUGUAUUUGGAUUAUUUGUUGACUUUAUUAUAAUUUCUUAUGUAUUUUAUGUAUUCUUUUUUAAAUAUUAAUUGUAGUUUUUAUAUUUAAUUUAUUAAAUCUAAAUAUUGUAUGAUUAUAUUUUGUAUAAAUUUGUAACUUUUUUUUUGUAGAAAUAAGUACCACACAAAAUGAAACAUGCAAGGACAAACACUUUACAUGGUCUAAGCCUAUGUCUCACAUGCUACUUGAGAUAUUAGCUGAGGAGGCACUUAAAGAAAAUAAACCUUCCUCCACCUUUAAAGUAGAAUCUUUUGUUAAGGUGACUACAUAAAUUAGUCAAAAUUUCAACAUGCAAUGCGAGUCUAAGCAUGUUGACAAUCAUCUCAAAACUGUGAAAAAAGAAUGGGGAAUAAUAACCAAACUUAAAAAUAAAAGUGGCUUUGGUUGGGAUAAUUGUUUGAAGAUGAUUAUAGUUUCAAAAGAUGUAUAUGAUGAAGAAGUGAAGGUAUGUUAAAUAUUAUACUUUUCAUAAUUUUUAUAUCUACUUUUGUUUCCAAAAUGUUAUAUAAGGAACUAAAAAACCUUUUCUUUUCAUUUUUCUUUUUAACCAAAUUCCAAUAUCAUAUGUUUAAUUUUGAUAUUUAUUUUAUGAUUUUGAAACCUAUUAGGGCCCAAUUUUUUACUGUUAUCAUAUCGAACAAAAUCUAACUUAUAUCAUUAACAAUUAACUAGAAAGCUAAAAACAAGGGUGAGAAAAAAAAACUAAAAAAAACCGAUUAAAAUUUAAAAAAAAUUGACCAUUCGGUUCGGUUAUAUGAGCUUGAAACCGAAAAAACAGAAUCCAAACAAAAAAAUCUGGAAAAAAACCGAUCCAAACUAGUUUAAACUGGUUUUGGUCCUAAAAAACCAAACCAAACCAAACCGAAACAGUUGGUUUGAACCGUAUUUGUUUCUUUCUUCUUCUUCUUCUUUUUAAUUUCAUUUCUAGUAUUUUUUUUAUUUACUUUUUAUGAGGUUAUUCUAAACUUAUACCUUAGUUGACAUUAGUUUUUUUUUUCCUCAAUUGACUUUUUUUUUUCAAUUUCACCCUUUAACGUUGAAUUUAUGAAAAAUUAUACUUCAUGAUUUAUAUCUGUUUAUUUUGUAUAAGACUAUCUCAAUAUCAUGACUCAAGUCACAUGUUUGAUAUUUUAAUUUGUGUUGACUCGAUUAAUUUUUUUAAUCAAUUUUUUAAUUUUAAUUCUAUCCUUCAAUAUUAGAUUUAGUUGUUUGUUUUGUUCACCAACCACAUUGUUGUAACCCAAUUUUGGAUUCACCAAGAUUUUCUUGAAUAUUAUUUUAUUUCUAUUAUUAUUCAUAAAAAUCCAAAAAAAAAUAAAAAAAGUUUAAAAUUCAAAAAUAUAUUUUUCUCGAGUCAACCGCAUCUUUCCGGGUCAAACCAUGUCGACCAGGGUAAAAAAUGAGUUUCGGGCUGUUUCGGAUCAAAACCGUCAUUUUCAACCAAAACCGAGUUCACCGGGUCAAACCAUGUCAACCAGGAUAAAAAAUGAGUUUCGGGCUGUUUCGGGUCCAAAACCAUCAUUUUCGACCAAAAACCGAGUUCACCGGGUCAAACCAUGUUGACCAGGUUUAAAAAUGAGUUCCGAGCUAUUUCGGGUCAAAAACAUCAUUUUCGAUCAAAACCGAGUUCACCGGGUCAAUACGGGUCAAACCAUGUCGACCGGGAUGAAAAAUGAGUUUCGGGCUAUUUUUGGGUCAAAACCAUCAUUUUUCGGUUAAAACCCGGUUUACCGGGUUGAUACCCAUCAAAUGUUUUUUUGUAUUAGCGGUUGCAACGAGGUUUUUUGUUUAAUACUGAUUUUAAUUUUUAAUUUUAUCUAUAUAAAUAUUUAUUAUUAUAUAUAAUAAUACAAAAUUAAAAUUUUCAACGGAUUAGUUGUAUUAUUGAAUUAGUAGUUGUGUUAAUAUUAUUUUUUUAUUUAAGGUAGAUGAAAGAGCAGUUGUGUUGUACCCUGCUCAGUGGAUAUAAAUAGCCACGUGAGCAGGGAAGAAGGAGGGAGAAAAACAGAAAAGAAGAGAAAGAAUUCAUACACUGUGCAUGUUUUUUUUAGUUUUUCUUCGUGAGAGUAGGAUAUUAUUUAAAAAAAAAACAAUUUGAAAAUACCAAAUAUAUCCUGACCCAUCUCAGCCAUUGAAAUAAUCCAUGAUGUAAUCUCGUUGCGCCACAUCAUCCGGUGCACCGAGAUUUCGGUGUACUGCGUCACACUGGAUAAACACCCACACAAUCCGGGCCGUCCGAUCAACCUGCAGAUCUAACCAAUCACAGCCAUUCGAUCGUUUCAUCCAAGAUCCAACGGUUAAAAGCCUCCCGCUGCACUAGAGUACCAUGGACACGUUCACACCGUAGCCAAUCUCAGAGCCUCUCUCUCCUCUCACCGGCGACUCUCUCUCUCUCCUCUCACCGGCGACUCUCUCUCUCUCUCCUCCGAUCUCCAUUUUCCGGCCGUAUCAAGCCUCCGCACCACCACAGAAAGGUAUCUACCAUGGUUUAAAGCAAAACCCCGGUGGUUUUCAUAGUUUUCGCCGCCUCAUAUGGCCGAAAAAAGGCCACGAUCUUCGUCGGCCACCGAAGCUUCAAGUCGUCGAUUCUCCCUCGUCAGCCAUCAACGGACGUCUAGACCACCACCAACACAAUCCUCGACCUCAGAUCUACCAGAAUCGACCAUCGGUUUUCCAGAAAGCUCGCCUGAAAAUCUAGCCGCCACCAACAGUAGCCGCGCGUGAGCCACACGCGCCGCCAGGGCAUUUUCGUAAAUAUCUGAUAAAUCCGAGGGUAUUUUAGUCUUUUACCUAUACUGUGUCACUUAGGUAAUUUUUUUUAGAUUUCUAACAUUUUUUUUUUAUUUUGUAUAUAAAUUUUCUUGCAUGUUGUAAAAAAAAAAACAAGGAAUAGCAACGCGGGUCCAACACCCAUCCUAUUAUGUUAUCAUUCGUGGGUCCAAAGCCCAAUUUUCAAAUAUAGUUAUACCCAUAUCUCAACGAUAUCAAAAUAUUUAUUUUUAUAAACAAAUAUUGUUUGUCGACACGUCUCUUUUUAUAGAAAAAGACCGAUGUAAAAAAAAAAAAAGUUUAAAAACCAAACAAAUAUGGAUUAUGUCCAUACUUUUGUUUUUUGGUAACUUAGAUGUAAAUCUCCUUUUUAGGGUUAAACGUCAAUAUUUUAGACAAGUGUCCUAUUUUUAGGGACUGAUGUCAUUUUUAACGUGUCUCCUAUUUUUAGGGACCGACGUUAACUAUUUUAUAAAAAUAAAAAACAAAAUUGCAAAUAAGCUCAAAAUAUAAUAGCAUUUAAAUCAAAUAAAAAACAUACAAGUAAAGGUAACCUUUCUCUUGAAAGGAUGUUUUAAGGGUAGUGUCUACCUUCCCUUAAUCAUAACUAACCCAGUACCCGAAUCUCUGGAACCAGUGUCUAAUUUGGAAUUUCUAGUUCCCUCAAAUUACUAGAUGGCGACUCCAAUAAAAUUUUCAUUUUCCCAAUAAAAAAAAAUCUUUUUGUUAAAUGAACAAAAAAAAGAGGAGUCGUCACCCGACGUCGUGUAUCGACACACAUGUUACCUUGAACUUGAUUGAUUGUCAAGUGCAUGUUUUUUAAAUUUGACAUAUUCACCAAACCUAUUUUAUUUAGGUUUAAAACAGUCUAAAACACUCCUCGUAUUACUAUAAAACAGUCUAAAACACCUAGACAACUAAUCAUCCAAAAUCAAGAGCUCACCAUUACCUAGGGUUCUAGUUUUGAACAACUUUUGAACUUAGUGGAAUGUCUAUAAUCUUAUUUAUCGAAAUGUUAUUAUAACAAUCUUGUAACAUCUUUAGGUUAAAUUUAUUUCCACACUUUGAAUCUUAAAUUGCUGCUAGACAACCUUAGAUUUGUACUGGAUCACUAAACAAGGAUAAGCCAUUGUCUGGGACAACAACUUGUUGAAACUUCUCGCCAUGAACGUCAAGUGAAUGUACAAUGAUUCCGCCAUAGAUUUUACCAUCCAAUAUAUAACUCCAUUAGCACAUAUGGCUUCCUUAAAAUCAUACCACUUCGUGUACCCAUAAAAAAAUAUAAUGCUUUUUAUUUAUUCUUAACUAUUUUUUUGUCCCCAGCGUGAAGAUUUCAAAUUGCUCUUUGUCAUGAACACAAACUUUCAUUUUAUACCCAUUAGCCAAAGAUCAAACCCGAAGGAAAGAUGGUCUUGUAUACUAAAUUGAGAUACGGUGUCCAUCAUCAACUAUGCAUAACUUUAUGAAUAUGCACAUCCCAAUCAUGACAAGUAUCUCAAUAAAAUACUUGAUAUGUACGAGGCAAUAACAAUUGUUGUUGGAAAAGAUAUGGUAACCGAAAAUUAUGUCAAAUCAUAUGAUGAUGUCAACUUGGAAGAGAACACUGAAGAAUAAUCAAUUUCAAUUGAAAAUGAAGGGGAAUAUGAAGAAACUUUAAAAGAAAAAGAGACAUCUUCCUCUAGUGCACGAAAGAGGCAACAUAGAAAGAAAAAUAACAUGUAUGAAGAUGAUAGUGUUUAAAAGUUGUCUAAAAAGAUUGGAGAUGUAGCAUUUGCAAUCCAAAACCUCAGCAAAAAUCAACUAGAUGUUAAUGAACUAUAUACAAAAGUGAUGAAAAUUGAAGGCUUUGAUAAGAUCACUCUUGGGGAUGCAUUUAAUCACUUGGUCUAACAUGAAAUGUUGGCAAAAACAUUUAUGGCAAAAAAUACUAAUUUGAGGAAAAUUUGGGUUCAGAAUUUUGUGAACCAACACUACUACAUGCUUGAUUGCUAAGAUGAUUUUACUAUGAUAAGAAAGUUUAUGUUUGUUAUUUGACAAGUAUGUUUACUUGUUUAAUUCGGUCUAGCAUGUUUAUGUUUGUUAAUUUGAACUAAUAUGUAUGAAUAUUACAUCAAAACUUAAUAUUUAUGCAUGACUAUGUUUGAUGUAAGAUAUUUAUAUUUAUUUCUUAAUGCUUAUUUAAUAUAUAUUAAAAGGAUAUUUCAAGGAUAAUUGCCUAUAUCCGUAAAAAAAAAAAAUCUUUAUCUAAAAAACCCAUCAAAAUAUUUUUGUAUUUAUUUAUCUUUUAAAAAAAUCUUCAUACCAAAAAACCCAAAUAUCUAACUCUUACUUAAUACCAUAAACUAAUUUGGCUCUUUUCAUAUGAAAAAAAACAUAUUUUAAGCUUUUAAAAUUGAAAAAAAAUAUUAAUAGAUUUUAUUUAUGAAAAAUUUCACAAGGUUAUAUCUCUAUAAUAUUUAAUAUUAUAUGACAUAUAUAGUUAUAUUUUAUAAAAUAAACUAUAAAUGAAUAUAGGAUAUAAUAAAAAAAUUCAUCAUUACACUUUUUAGAUUUUUUUUUAUUGUAAAUGAUUAAAUAUUUUUCAUAUAUUAGAUAAAUUUAAAAAAAAAAAAACUUAAUUCAUUAAUAAAUUAUUUUUCAGUUUAUUUUUUAUAACAUAACCAAAUACUAAAAAAUAUUUUCCAGUUUAUAAAAAUCACUUAAAAAAAAAAAACUUUCCUACAAAUAAAUAUAACCUAAAAAUAUAUUAGUCGCAUUAGUCGCAUGGACUUAGAGGAGUUUAAUUGGAGUGUUUGAGGACAGAGUGCUACAUGUGUGCCCCAAUUUAUCCCAAGGAAAUCACUGGAAAUCACUGGUUUUUAACUUGGGCGAAUGCACAGAGAAGUUUUACAAAUGAGCAACAACAAUUUACAAUAAUUCAUAAACACAGACAACAAGACCAUCCAUGUGGCCUUCCCUUUACAUCUUUACGUCUUCCCUUUCCUGUCAAAAGUUCAUCCUCCCAAGGAAACAAAAAAGGCAUGGCUCAAGUUCAUGAGCCAUCCGCGUGGUCGUUAUCAUUGUCGCCUUCAUAAUAUUCAUCGUCGCGUUGGAUUUGCUUGUCCUGGGUAUGCUCUGAAAUGAGAAUUCAUUAUAAAUUAGUAACAGGGAAAAACAUCUAGAUGAGAAAACAAAAAACUCAAAGGAGCAAAAAGUGCACUAGUGUAAGACACCAAUGUGCUCCACCGUGUGUGCAGCCAUCAGUGUGAGAGCACAUAAUUUUGAGUAUUCCACUUACGAUCCAUGCGCUCAUCAGGGUUUUGCUCAUCUUCAUCAAAAUCGGGAAUGUAGAAGUCAGGAGGUACCUGCAGAUAUGAUUGUCAUCGUCAACUAAUUAAUGACUUCCCAUGCACAAAUAGCUAGUUUAGUUUCCUUUAAUCCUUUUGCAAAGCACUGCAGAUUUGACUAAUUGAAUCUUUGAUUGGUUAGCUUAGCUACUUAACAAAUACUUGCAUCUAACUCACCUCUUGCAUCUGUACACUUGGAGCAUGUUGGAUGCAACGGAGAUUUUCUAGUACUUGCAUUUUGAUUGUGCUAAGAUAAGAUUUGCUAUUUAAGUUCUCCUGCUCACUCAAACAAAAAAAGAAGAAGAAAUAUUAGGAAGGCUGCAAGAAUGCAGGAUUGGCACUGACAAUUUAAACUAGGUCAGACUUUAAUAGCAAACCAGGAAUCACAGGGAGUUUCAGUGCAGUUACAUACCAUGAGUCCACCAGGACUUUUCAAUGAAUAAUCAGGGGCAAAAUAUUUAAUAUACUCAUUUUCUGGAAUCUCUGCAAGAAAAUUGGAUUGCAACAAAAUCAGGUGCUAGAAAAGAGUAAUCUGAGCUAAUGAAUUAUGAUGUAUAGUGGGAGAAGUGUUAACGAUAAAUGGCAUGGAAAGGGUAGAAGAUGAGGCCAACCAUGAUUAAUGGCAUGCAUUAACCAAAAAAUGCAAAAUUGUAUAUAAUAUGACAUUAAAAAAUAAAAGAAAGCAAACUUUCAUAACAUGAUAUCAUUAAUGACAUGCCACUUCCCAACCCCAGAAACACUACAUAACCUAAGAACUCCACAUCAACUCACCACAGAACAUCAUGUAGUUAUGUUUACAAUUUCUUCACAGAGGGUGAUAUGUGAGAAUUCAUCUUCCAUGCUCAGUUUUUCCUUUCAAUUAGAAAAAGGAAGUGAUUAUAUAAGCAUACCAUUGGGCAGUUCUGUGUCUAAAAGAACUCCUGUUUCAACGGUCCAACAAGGGACCUGCAGGGGAGUAACUUCUCGUGAGCUUUGACAUUUCAUAAGAGGAGACUACUAAUAGGGAUUGGAGCAAAUAAGAACAUACCAACAAGGGCAAGUUGAAUUUCUUCACAAACCUAACACAUUCUGCAUGCCCUGCAACAAACAUCACAAUGCACACCAAAUUAAUACAUCACCAACUGGCUUAAGACCAUUCAUGCAGCACCAACAACAGAACAAGCAAAUAACUGCUCCGUGUGAGGACAAAUGCACAAGGGAAGAAAAAGAAAUGUAACAAUUACAAUUAGAUAUGCACCAUCAAUGGAAAGAUUGAAGCAGCCCAAGCGGUCCCCAGCCAACGAAUCUGCUCCGCAUUGAAGAACUAUUGCACCUGGCUGAUAAGUUUCUACAACCUUGGAAAUGAUCUGCAUGACAGAUAAUCAAGCAAAUUAUUAUACUUCGCUACUUGUUUUUGUGUCUGUGUGUGUGGGCGGGUUGAAAUCUGAACUUACUGUUUUAAAUAGUCGAGUGAAGCUAGUGUCAUCGAUUCCAUCUUUCAGUGGAACAUUUAUAGCAUAAAAUUUUCCUUCUCUUUCUCCUAGUUCCUUCAAUAAGAACCAUAUCAGCAUUUUAUUCCAAUUUCACUUGGUACAAGACUUGUCUGGAACAAGAAUGAUAUAUAGAUAAAAGGUUCAUAGAAACCAGGGAAAAUAUUUCUGAGGUUGCUGCAUCCCUGUUUCACUAAAUAUCAGGGCAGACAAACUGAGUUUGAGGGGGGGGGAACAUAAUGUUGCAUCAUUAAAAAAAGAAGAAGAAAAAGAUUUAGAGCAACCAGCAACGCUUUGUAUGAAAACAGAAUAAGGUAACAAACACAAAAGUACAGUUGCUUGACAUUAGGAAUAUAAAAGAAUGAAAAAGCAUUAAAUAAUCACCUUAACAUCACCAGUUCCAGGAAAGAACAUAUCUCCAUACUUGUGAAAACUCACAGUCAUCACCCUGUCAAAUGAUAAACAAAAAUUUUGUAUUUCUCAUGACUUUACCAUUCCACUACCAGUCCAAAUUCAUAAUAGAAUAUAAGCUUUCACUACCUGUCAGUGAAAUAAAAGGCUUCUUCAACACCAUCACCAUGAUGAACAUCUAUAUCAAUGUACAGAACACGAGCAUGGUGUUUCAGAAGCUCCAAAAUCCCCAAAACCAGGUCAUUGAUGUAAUAAAAACCAGAUGCCCCGCACUUUUUUGUAACAAAAGCCAGAGGUUCCAUCGCUCAUCACUUGUAGCUCCUCCCCUCUUCCUUCUUACAUUAGCAUGCGCAUGACUUUCUUUGCCAUCCACAUUAUAAUUGAACUCUCUAAUUCUUCCUCCUCUGUAAUCAAACUCUGCGUUAACUACAUCUUCCUCACCACUGGGUCCAUUAGCAUUCUCGCUGAACUCAUCACUUUCCAUGACUUUGGACACCUUCACUCGAUCCUUAAACCCCCUCAAUUUUACACUCCUUUCAUCUCUUUCCAACAAUGGCGCAUCAUUCCCCUCUAAAUCAUCCUUCAACUUAUAACUAUUUGACUUAUGUACUUGAUUCUUUUCUCUUCCAGUCUUAACAGACUCCAUAGCCUUCAAAUACUCACCAAAAGAUGGUUUAAAUUCUAACUCUUUCUCAAUAACCCCACCACCACCAACCAACCGAUUAUCAGACUCGUCUUUUUGCAAUGCCUUCAACCCACGCUUGCUCUUCAAUGGAACACCAGAAAUUGGAGGUCUCCAAGAAUUCAAAGGCCCACAUGAAGAAUAUGGCUUCCAGCUACAAUUACAGGUUAAGUUCCCAUUUCUUUCAAAACCAGAUAAACCGUUUUGCCCAUUUGUCAUAAUUAUCACCUCCAUAUUAUCAAUUCACACCACACAGUCUCACAAGCCAAGCAAACCUCUAUCUUGGAGUCACUAAUUAUAUUGAUCAGCCUGUUUUAUAAUUUGAUUGGAGAUUUGGGUAAUGGGUUAAAUAUAUAAAAAUUAUUGAUUAUAACGAUAAGUUUAACGAGUUUUUUUAAUGAAAUAAUAUUAUUUUAUAUAAAAAUUAUUGAUUAAAUAAUCUUACAUGAAUUUUUAUAGGAUUAAUCUAGUCAUCAAGUUUAUCAAAUCGAAUUAAAUAAAGUAAACUGUUCAAAUAAUUCGAAAACCAUCAUGAUCCGAGAGUUAUCAUGCUAUUGAAUCAACCAAUCAGCGCAGGCGGAUUUGAGAUCUAUGAAGAAAGAUGAUGUAGACGGGUGAAGUAAUGCGUUGAACUUCCACCAUAGCCUACACAGUUGACGAAGAAGGUAAUUGGGUAAUUUGUCACCUCUUUACCUGUGUCUGGUCUGCAUGGAUACAUCUCUUUCCAAGUGUCUGUCAUGAACACUCCCAAAAACACUUAAAAAAUGUUUGUUUUUUUAGGUAACUUGUUACUCAUGGUUUUUAUUUUAAAAAAUAAAUUUUAAAAAAUAAAUUUUUGAAAAAUAUAGUUAGGAGUGGUUGUUGGAUUUAGAUAUAUAUUAGAUAAAAAUUAUAAUUGAAGUUUAUGUAUAACAAAAAAAUAUAUAUAAAAUGUUUGGUAAAAGUAUAGUUGCGGUUGCUUUUUACUUGGAAAUGCAUUAAAAUAAAUUUUUUUUAUUUUUUUUUAAAUUUUUUUUUAUAUUAGUGUAUCAAAAUGAUCUAAAAACAUUAAAAAUAUAUUAAUUUGAAUAAAAAAAAAACAUUCAAAUUUAUUUUUAAAAAAUUUUGAAACGCAAAAACAAACAGGAUUUUACGAAAUUCCGUUAAGAAAACAUAUAAAAACUAAAAUUUACUAUAUAAAAACUGUAUUUUAAAUUUAAUUUUUUAAUAAAUUAUAUAAUAUAAAAUACAAUUUAAUUUAUUAUCAAACAACUAUCUAAGUAAAAACAAAUAAAGCCUAAAGCGAAAGGAAAAACAUAAUUUGCAUCGUCUGAGAGCCUCUUUUCCCCUGUGGAGGUUUCAAUUUCAUGGCCCCUUUACGUUUUCCACUAGAAAGUGAUGGGCAAGAAGAUUCAACACGUGUACAGAGUUGGUGUACAGAUUCAACAUCUUCCACUAGAAAAGAUGUGGAAUCUUUGCUUUUCCACUCAAGAGUGUAGUGCAGGGCAAGGCAAUAUUAGAACAGGUUAUCUACGGUGACUUCCUCUGUAUCUUCGAGCUUUCCACGCAGUCACAGCUUGAUGAUGUCUCUUUCCUUUGUUACUGCGUCACGAUGUCUUUUUGGAAAUUUAUUGGUAUUUAAUUUUAAGAUAAUUAAAAUACAUAUUUGUCAAAAAAUUGAUAAAUUAAUUUUACAUACAAAAAGUCAAAAUUCUCUUUUAUUAUUUAUUUUUUAUCUUGACAAAAACAUAUAUAUUUUUAAUUAGCAACAUAGUUGUUUUAAUAAAUAAAAAACUUGGUAAUUUAAAUAAGUAUUCAAGAAUUUUUAAUUAUUUAAAUUAAAAGAGAAAUCCUGAAUGGUUGUUAUAAAUUUGUUUCGCUCUUUGUUUUUUAGUCAUUUUUUUUUUAUAUUUUGUUAUAUGCUUUGUGUUUGAUUCCACUUGUCUAGCCUUUCUUAAUAUUUGUAGAUGGAGCGCAUGCGCGGUCCUUCUGCCUGAAGAGUAUACUAGUAAGGGUUGAAUCGGUCAUUUACUAUUAUCUCACAAAUUAAUAAAGAUGAAAGCAUAGUUAUUAAGAUUUUACUUUUACAAUCUUUAUGAUUUAUGAAUAUGCUUUCUUUUUUCUUGAUUUUUAAGUUUAAAUCCUCAAAUAAACAUUUAGAAAUACUUAAUAAAUUACUUUAAAUAUAGAAAAUCAAUAUAGAAGCAUAACAAUAAAUAUAUGAAAUAUAACCAUUUAGUAGAACAAAUUAAGGGGAAAAAAAAGAUAUCAGUAAAUACCUCUGGUUAUGGAUGCCAUGAUCGUUGGAACGCACUUCAUUCCUGAACAUGGAUGCCCUUGAAUUAGGGUUUUCUUUGUAAACAAGGGUUUAGAGUAAUAAUAUAUAGUUUCAAAGCAAGAUGGACAUGGAAUACUACCAAGGGUUUUACAAAACCAUAACGUUAAAAAAAGAGUUUCCAUGAAAAAUAAAUGGAUCGUAUAUAGGAGUGCUGAUUUUGUUACAAGAGAAGCAGAAAUUAACACAUAUAGAGGAAAUCAAGAAGAAUUGAUUUGGAAAAAAAUAAAAGGGUUUAUUUUUUUGGGAAAUAUUUUUAGGAAUCCCAUGAAUCAAGUCAUGGAAAGUGUAUUUAUUUUAAUUUUUCCUUUUUAAUAAGAUUUUUUUUAUAAUCUUUUCUUUAAUUGGUAAUCAUGAAGAAUUAAUUAAAAGUUUAAUUUGUCAGCAAAAAGAUUAGCAAAGAAAUCCUAGAUAUUGAGAGUGUGUCCCGGCCAAAUCUCUUUGUGCUAAUAACUUUCUUAAUUAAACAAUGUUUGAGUCCUAAUAAAUACAGUUUUCUCAAUAAGUAAGACAAUUUCAUUUAAUAAUCCAUGGCCUUCAAUAUAUUUCUCGACAAGAAUGGAAUAGGAUUUGAACUUACAAAAUUGAAAACCAAUUUUCUACCGAUCUGAUCUAGUCUCAAAAAAAGAGAAAAAAAAAAAUAAGUGAAUACUAAAAUUCACAUUAACUAAUAAAUUGAAUUAAAUUUCAAGACACGUACACAAAAAUGUAUAUAUAAUGAAUGCUUUGCAAAAUUAGAAAAUAAAAAGAAAUUAAAGACAUGAACAUGAGGGAUUAUGAAAAUUCAUGAUAUCGUAAUAAUACGUUUAAUUUAUCAAAGCCUCGUCCUUGUAUAUUCAAUAAAUGGGACAUCCACUCAUCCAAAUGAUGAAAUAUGUAAAAUCAUCUCAAUUCAAUAAUUUAAGAUAUUAGAUGAGGUUUCAGGAUAUGAUUUAUAUUAUUCUCUAACAUAUCAUCUCAAGUGAAAAACUUUUAGACUUGAAACUUGAAUAGGCUCACAUUACCUUGUGCUUAAUUUUUAUCAAAUAAAUAGAGAUGGUGAAAUUUGAACUUGAGACCACUUAGUCAUUAAAGCUUUGAUACCGUGUUAAAAAAUAUUCUCAGCCUAAUAGCUUAGCUGUUAGGUAAUGUUUUAAGAUAUAAUUAUAUUAUUCUAUAAUACAUUCCUUCAAGUAAAAACUCUUUGGACUUAAAGCUUGCAUAAAUCUAUAUUAUUUUGUGCUUAAUUUUUAUCAAAUAAAUAAAGAUAAUGAGAUUCGAACUCAUGAUCGUUUGAUCAUCAAGGCUCUGAUACCAUAUCAAAUAACCAUCUCAGUAUAAUAAUUUAAAUUAUUAAAUAAAAUAUUAAAAUAUAAUUUAUAUUAUUUUUUAAUAAUAUAUAAAGCAGAAAAAGUCUUUUGAUAAAAGCACCAUUUCUUUAAAGAGAGUUCAAACUUGAACCUCUUCUUUAUAACUAAAAAAAAACAGUGAAAAAAAUUACUACCUAUUAAUUAUAUGAUGAUUAAUUAAUGUUAUAGCUACAAGAAGGUACGUAGACAAAGCUUAAGACCUGACUUCGCCCCAUGGUUUUCUUGAAGGGAAGUACAAGUGCCAGGCUAGCUAGCAAGCUAGUUUACAUUAUUCUGUAUCAUCGUUAUCAUUUCAAUAAAACAAAUAUAUAAAGAUAUGCCUAUUGUAAUUGUUUAUGGAAGCAAUAUGGUUAUUAUUCUUAUUUUAAUUUUUUUUGCUUUAAUAUCCAUAACCAUAUUAAUUUUAAAAAAUAUAAUUUAAUUGAUUAAAUUUUAAAUUUAUUUUUUAAAAAUUACUAAUUUAAAUUUUAUAAAUCUUAAAGUUAGUAAAGACUUAUAUUAUUGUUAAUUUUAAAAUUCAUGAAAUUAAUCGAAAUAUGUAGAAGCUGAUCCGGAAAUCUAUAUUAAUUAAAAAAAAAAGAUUAAACUUAAGCCAUAUAUUAAAAUUUUGGAUGAUGAAGGUAACAGCAGUGUCAAUAACGAGGAUGUGCUGGAAGGCCUUCAGCCUCACCCAGACAUAAGAAGCUUGACAAUUGAGGGUUAUGGAGGUGAAAAUUUCUCAUCAUGGAUAUUGCAACUCAAUAAUCUGACGGUGCUGAGAUUGAAAGGCUGCAGCAAGUUGAGGCAACUCCCAACACUUGGAUGUCUUCCACGCCUUAAGAUUCUAGAGAUGAGAGGAAUGCCUAAUGUGAAAUGUAUAGGCAAUGAGUUCUAUAGCAGCAGAGACAGCGCAGGUGUACUGUUUCCAGCACUACAAAUACUCACUCUAUCCAGGAUGGAUGGUCUUGAAGAAUGGAUGGUACCAGGUGGAGAAGUUGUUGCAGUAUUUCCUUGUCUUGAAGAGUUGAACAUUGACAACUGUGGAAAGUUGGAAAGCAUUCCGAUAUGUCGUCUUUCAUCUCUUGUAGAAUUUAAAAUUGACAGUUGUGAUGAGCUGAGAUAUUUGUCUGGUGAAUUUCAUGGCUUCACGUCUCUUCGAGUUUUACGUAUAAGGUGGUGUCCAAAGCUGGCAUCCAUUCCAAGCGUACAACACUGCACAGCUCUGGUGGAAUUGAUUAUAUUGUGGUGCGGUGAGUUUAUCUCAUUUCCUGGUGAUUUCCGAGAUUUGAAUUCUUUGAAGAAAUUGAUUGUUUAUGGGUGUAAAUUGGGAGCUCUUCCAAGCGGACUACAAUGUUGCGCAUCUCUAGAGAAAUUGGAGAUAUGUUGGAACAGUGAUCUUAUCCAUAUCAGUGAUUUACAAGAAUUGUCUUCGCUUCGAGCAUUAAAUAUUAGAGCUUGUGAUAAGCUCAUCAGUAUUGGUUUACUACAAUUGCGUUCUCUUGUUCAAUUAGAAAUCAACUUGUGUCCCAGUUUGAGUGAUAUUCCAGAGGAUGAUUGGUUGGGUGGCCUCACCCAACUGCAGAAAUUGAUAAUCGGUGGUUUCUCAGAGGAGAUGGAGGCUUUUCCUGUAGGAGUUUUAACAUCAUUCCAACACCUCAACUUGAGUGGGUCCCUUAAAUCCCUAUACAUAUAUGGAUGGGAUAAACUGAAGAGUGUACCACACCAUCUUCAACACCUCACUGCCCUCAAGACAUUGGAAAUACAUAAUUUCAACAGUGAGGAGUUAAGAGGAAGCAUUGCCAGAAUGGAUGGCCAACCUUUCUUCUCUUCAAUCUCUUUGGAUUGGGGGUUGCAAGAAUCUCAGGUAUAUGCCAAGUUCAACAGUCAUUCAACGCCUCUCCAAAUUAAAGAAAUUGUGGAUUUGGCAGGGAUGUCCACAUCUUCAAGAAAAUUGUAGAAAAGAGAAUGGCUCUGAGUGGCCCAAGAUUUCUCAUAUCCCAGAAAUCUAUAUAGAGGUAAGUUGGGGUUUUAAUUAUUCAGUUACUUAGUAGUAUGCUGAGGAGAGAGAACCAAUUAAAGUAUUCAAAUUAAUGAAAGCAAUAAUUAGACUUCAUUCUUUUAAGAAUGAUUUAUUUCUCAUAUCCAACAUUUUUUAGACUAAUAUCAAAAUUAACCAAAUCAAUCAUAAUCAAAUAUCUUAUUAUCUUUUAUUAUUAUGUUAACCAAAUUUAUACUUGUGAUCAAUGAUAAUAUCAAUAACCAUAAAUCAUUAUUUUUGUGGAAUAUAUAGGACAGACACUAUCAAAUGCCAUUAUUAUUUAGCUUAUAUUUAUUGCAUUGUCUAUACAGUAUUAUUUAUUUUAAAAAUUACCUAAUCAUUUCUUGCCUAAUCAAUUUUAACUUAGCUAAUUUCAUUUAAUAACAACCAACAAGAUUAUUACUGAGAUUACUAACCAAUAACUUUUUAGUAGCAAAUACAAUUAAACUAAAAAUACUCUUUAGUUGACCCCAAGAUUAAAAAAACAAAAAAAGGGCAAACUUGGCUCCCGUUUAUAUAAAAUAUAGAUUUAUAAAUUACAUAUUGAUAAUAUAUUAUCUAACUCCAACCAUUUUGUAUUUUAGCGUUGUUUAUCUUUCAAUGGCUAACACUAUGUUAGCUAUUUUAACUGUUGUAGGAACCUCCAAGACGAUGCCAUGGAAUGGUUAUUUGAAGCUUAUGCAGACUAGUGUUUAUCGGGCUAAAUGGUGGAUAAAAUGUGUGACUUGUACAAUUUUCUGUGGUAUUUAUGAGAUAAGUGUUUUUGUCAGAAAUGGAUACUUAGAGUGUGUUUGAUAUUAUUGUAAUUGUUGUGAUUGUGGUUUGAAAAAAAUUAUUUUAUAAAAAGUACUUUUAAUUGAGGUGGUUUGAAAAAAUAGAUGUUUGGUUAAAACUGUGGUUGAAAUUGAGGUUGAAGAAAAAAUAAUUUAAUGUGUUUGGUUAAGAAUGCUUUUAAAAUUGAGGUUAUAAAAUAAUUUAAAAAAUAUAUAUAUAUAUUAAUAUUGUGUAUUUAACUAUUGUUAUUACAUCAUAAAAUAAAUCAUACUUUAUAUAAAAUAUUUUUUUAUUAUUCUAUUGAACGAUCUACAAUUCUAUCACGUUUGAAAUACAUCCGACAAUUUUCUUGGAUUCUUUAACACGCAACAACAUAACUUGUAAAAUAUAAUCAGGAACAAAUUAGAAUUGUGAUCAAAUUCUGCAAAUACUAUGUCAUCAAGCAAAUAAAACACAAUUAAAAAAUAAAAAAAUAUUUUUUUUACCGGGUCGGACCUGGUUCAAUACAUUUUAUUGCUCCACGAAAGGCAACCAUGCUACAAUGUUCACUGAACAGUGUAGCAUGCCUCCACUGUUCAGUGAACAAUAGAGGCAAGUGUUGUUACUGGUUUUAUAACAGUUUGAUGGCAUUAUAGUAAAUUAUAAAAGAAAAUAAUUCACGACACAAGAAAAACUUAACCAAGAUUUCUUGAUGUGUAAUUGUAUAAUAAUAUUUUUUACAUUGUCGGAUGGGGAAAAAAAAUCAAAGCUAAAAGUAUUUAAUUGAUUAAAAAAAUAUUGUUAAAUUUCUGAUAUCUAAUCCUUGAUCGGUUGCAACUAUAAGCUAUAUUACUCUAUUCAUGAAAAUAUCUUAAUAUUGAACUUUAAAAUAAAUAUAAUCUCAGUUCCAUCUAAUACAUAUAAAUAUCACUAACAGGUUAAUAUAUAUAUAUAUAUAUAUAUAUAUGUUGAUAGAGCUUUCAAAAUAACUUUUAAAAAUCUUUCAAACACUUAGCUUUUAAGGGAAAAAAAAAAGAGACAAAAGCCACUAGUUCUCCAACAUGCACUGAUAAGGUGUUCGGGAGUAUGAUUGUAGUUAUUUUUAAAAAUAUUUUUUAUUAAAAAAUAAAUUAAAAUAAUUUUUUUAUUUUUUUCAAUUAUUUUUAAUAUCAACACAUCAAAAUGAUAUGAAAACACUAAAAAAAAUAUCAAUUUGAAGUAAAUAAAAAAAUAUAGUUUUUUAAUCUUUUUAAAAACACUUUUGAAAUGAAAAAACAAACAGAGUUUAAAUAUACUAUUUGCCUUACAUUUUUUAAAAACAAAAUAAAUUAUCAUCCAAAGAAAAAACAAGAAUUGAUUUUUUUUAACAUUAAAAUCAUAAAAAAAUAUAUAUUAAUUUAAUGUUUUUCAAGUAAAAUAAACUCUCUUUUUUUUACUCUUCAUUGAUCAUUUUAUUCAUUUUUAUCUCCUUUUUAGAGAUAAAAAGAAGAUAGCAAAGAGAUGAAGGCAUGUGUAGUAGUUUUUUAUUUUUAUUUUUGUUGCUGCAAAAUGACACAAUGAGAAUGGCUAAAAAGUCCUAAAGAUUAGUAAUCGUUUUAUACUAGUAUAAUCUCAAUCUUUGUAGAACCAUUAGUAGCCACCAAUGACUUAUUUCAUAUCAUACCCUUUUUCAUGUCAUCUUGAUUCUCUAAAAUCUCCUUUCUCUCUCUCUCUCUCUUUUUUUUAUCAUUUCGAUAAAUUAGGAUAAAAACAACAUAUUCUUAUGUUCGCUCUUAACAACUUUCAUUUUCUUUCAUUACUAUAUUAAAGGUAUAAGUAUUACAUUGUUUAUUAUGCAUGACAUUCUUGUCAUAUUAUCAUGGUCUAUACAAUAAUAAAUAACAUACAUCCAUAGACACAACAUCAUAUCAAAUACUAUCAAAAUAUCUCUUACCUAUAAAAAAUAAAACAAGAUAAUAUUCAUCCAUGAUUACAUUGGGAUCUUGAUUCAUCUACUUCAAUUUGUAGGGUAUAAGGUGUUUUUUUUUUUAAGUUGCAACUUCUGUACUACUUCAAUUAACACCAUCUUUUCACAAUUACCACUAUCAAUAAUCAAAUUAAAUACACUGUCCUUGAUGGUACAAGUUGAAAGAAAAAGACUAGUGUGUAGCCAAUCUUGAUUUGAAUCACUUUUAAGAAUAAUCAAACUCUUUUGGAUAAUUGAGGUAGCACCAUUAUUAUCUUAGAAAACCUCCUCACUACCAUAUUAAUCAUCAUAAAUAGGAUCACUUCUCUUCUCAUUAUGUUAUUUUACUUACAAAUGUUUACACUUACGACUCUUUGGUUUAUGACACUUAUAAAUUCAAUGUCCUAAUUCAUCAUAUCUAAAACAAUAAAAUUUAAAACCAUAUCCAGAACUUGAAUUUUAACUUGUGAUAUAUUAGUUAUCUAUUCAGGCUAAAUGAAUGAUAUUUUUUUUGUUAGCGCACACCUCCUUAUUAUUUUGGUCAAAUCAAAAGCCACCUUUGUUAAUUACCCUAAUAACCUAUUGUUUAUCCAUAAUCAAAGCUCUCUUAUAGGCUUACAAAACUAUUUAUAAAGAAUGCAAACACAAUACAUCUUGCAUAAACUAUCAUAAUCUACUUUAAGUACCUAGCAAUCAACUACUCUUUCUGAAAAAUCAUUCUUAGCCACCAGUUGGUAGAGUUUUCAAUGUACUUAGCAAUAGUUCUCCCAUCCCAAUGUAUGCAGUCAUUGGUAAAAAGUUUAAAUGUAUCCAAACAAAAAAAAAGUGUUUCUUUAUCUUUCUCUUUAAUUGCUUCCACCAAGCAUAAGCUCGCCCUUUUAAUCUAAUACCAAUAAGCUUCACCUUUAUCUGCUCUUAAACUUUUAUGCACUUGAAAAUCCUUUAUACUUCAUUCAACUAAACGAUAAACUCUUCCACUUGUAAAGUUCCUAUAAAAUUAGAAAGUUUAACUUAAAAAUCAAAAUCUCCAUGAAGUGCUGCCCAAUUAAAAGGUUGCCUCCUCUAGAUUAGCCAGGGUUCACAAUUACUCUCCUCCUAUUCUUGUUAGGUGUUUUAUUUCAAUUGUCACAUAAGCUUUGCGAUCUACCUUUGUAUAUCCUCAAUUUCUAGCUCAUGAACCUUUUUCUCUAAAGAGGAAACCUCUUCAUCCUCUCCUUGAACAUGUUUAGUUUUAUUAUUUUUUCCAGCUAUGGUUCUUUUGUAGCAUAUAACAAGCAAACAAUAAUCAAAGAUUAUUAGGUUCUGAUACCAACUAAUAUAAACAGAAAUAAUACAAAAAAAUAGCAAAAACAAACAACACAAUUCUACUAAAAAGGAUCAUCACACCAAAAACCAGAAUUCAAAAUUUUAUUUCUUAAUAAUUUACCAUGUCAAGUAGUUUCCUUUGUAAGAGAUUUACAACUCCUUAAAUAAACUAAAAAAACACAUAAACAAACUAAAAACCUUGAAAAUAAAUAAUAAUAAAAAAGCAAUAAAAUUCAUAAACAAAAUAAAAAAUAAAAUUAUUAAACAUAAUAUUUUAAAAUAAAUAGAAAAAAAGAUAAUAACUAAGAAAAAUCAAUUUUCCAAAAAAAAAAAAUAAUCUCCUUGGAAACUCUAUUGUCCCUUCAUUUAUUCGACUAGCUAGUUUGGGCAUAUAAUCACAAUACGAGGCUUCAAGACACCUUGCUCAUACAUUAUUUAUAACCACAUUAAUGUGAUGUUUUGUAUUAAAAAGAUAGGAAAUGACAACGAAGUCCUUGGAGGCUUAAAGAGUAAGUAUAAUUAAAUAAGGGGUAUAGUAGUAAUUGAAUAAAGAGAUGAUAAAUAUAAAUAGAAAGUAAAAAAAAAAAGAGGGAUCUGAAAAUUUGAAGAACAAACCGUGAGAGAGAAGGGAGGAAGAAGAAGAAGAAGAGAAAAUAAGAGAAAAUAAAGGGAAAAGGAAGAGAUUGGGAGGAAAUAAGUUUAAACGUAAGAUUUAAGUUGUUAAAUAUAUAAUUAUGUGUUAAUUAAGAUUUAAUUUUGGUUUUGAUUAAUUUUAGAGUUUUGAAAUUUGUGUUUUGAGUUUAUUGAUGAAUUAAUUUGAAGGUUAGGGGUUGAUUGUUGUGGGUAAUAAAUUAUUAAGUUGAAUUUGAGAUAUUGUAGAUAAAAAUGAUGAUUUUGAGUUAUGGUUUUGUUUGAAUGGUGAAUUUGUGUUAGAAAUCAGGGGAUAACAGUAGGUAAUCUGUGAAAAAUUCUGGGUUUGAGGUUGAAUAUGAUGAAAAUUCAAUUUGAUCCCUCAAUUUGCGAAAAUUAGAGUUUAGUCCCCAAACUUUGGAAAAUUACAAAUUGGUCCCUGGAGCAUAUUUCGAGAUUCUGAACAGAAUAACAUAUGAAUUAUGGACAGAAUUACUGUAUAGAUAAGAGAAUUUAACACUGUCAAUUUAGUCCUCCAAUUUGACAAAAAGUACAAUUUGACCCUAAAAAUUUGGUAAAAUUACAUAAUGGUCCCUGGAGCAUAAUGAUAUAUCCUGGACAGAAUUGAGGAUUUAUUAUGGUCAGAAUUUCAGUAUAUUUAUGGAUUUAUGAUAAAUUUCAGUUUGGUCCUCCAAUUAGACAAAAAUUACAAUUUGGCCUUAAAAGUAUAAUAAAUUCCAGAUUAGUCCCUAGCUGUAAUAUUAGCUUUUGCAGAUUAGUUUGAUGAAUAAUUAAGGGUUAUUUACCAAUUUUAUUAGUUGUUUUUAUUAUUGAUUAGAUUUUGGGUUUUUGAGAAAAUUGACUAGUUAGUUUAAAAACAUAUAGGGUUCCGGAAUACACCCUUAGUUAAGUGUAUUAAAUAGGUUAAAUGUUCUUUCGAGUCAUUCUUGAAUAUGUCUCCUUUGUAUUCAGAUAAUCCUAAUAUUCUAUCGGCGAGACAUUAGUAGAAUUUUCUUCAAUGUCUGCUUUUGACUUCUGUUUGCUUUUGAGUCAGGUGAGUGGAAUAAUCUUUAAUAUGCAUAUAAUAUAAAUAAAUAUGUAUGUUGAUUAUACAAUGAGUACAACUAGUAAAUUUCUUGAAUAUUUAUAUAUGUUGCUUUAUUUUCCGAGUACUCAUUUAUUCUUGAAUUUGCACUUGCAAUCUGUCAAGGUAAAUUCUAUUUGAUAUGAUAUAUGUUUCUUUGAUGAUUCUGUGAAUAUUUAUUAUGCCUUGAUAUGGGACUUGUCAGUAACUCCAUGCUAAUGGAGAAUAGUUAGCCUGUGUGCACAUAAUAUUCUGUAUACCUAGCUGGUGAGAAAGGCAUCAGCCUGUGGUGACUGAUCAUCCCACAGUGGUCACCGACGGGUGUCAUCUGGUCACUUUCGGGUGUCAUCUGAUCUCUGACAUGUAAUCCACUACGUUAUAAUAAUAUGUUUAGUAAGUAUAUGUAUAUGCAUAUCAAGAUAAAUUAUUUUGCAAACUAUUAAUAUCUGAAAUGUAUAUUAAAUGUUAUUCCCUCACUGAGUUGGUUGAACUCACCUCUCAUUCUUAAUAUUAUUUCAGGUUCUUAGUUUCUGAUAGUAGUUAGACUUUGUUGAGUGUUUCCACUUCAUUAGUUCUGGUCGGUAUGCCUUACUUGUUUGCGAGGCUUUCCUUUUAGUUUUGAUUUGAUGUCUUAGACGCUCCACUAUUACCUUGGUUUAAUUAAAUUUGGAUUUUGACAAUGUAAUGAGUAUUAUGAAUUAUUAUUUUUGUUUUAAUAACUAUCUUUCGGUUUCACCAGUUUUAAAUAAUAUGAUAUUUCUAAAUAUUAUGAGACGCUGUGUAUUUUUUAAUAAAUUGUUCUUUUUAUAUGUCCGUUCUGAGGCUUAGCAUAGGUGAGGUGUCCUUUCGACACCGCUCCUGCGUUGCCGGUCACGGACCCGGGAUUCAGGUCAUGACAACUAAGGAACACAGUAUAUCACAAGCAUUAACAAGGAGAUACAUCUGAAGCCAUUUUAUAGGCUUAGUCCUUUUGCAUAGUAGCAGGUCGUCAAGCCCUUUACAGUGGUUUCUUAAUAGAAUGCGGAGCUUUAUACUGAUAGAAACUCCUUAAUUGGAUCACAUAGUCUUGAGGCAUUCUCAGGACGAAUAAUUUCAAGACUCAUUCUCACCCUAAACCUUAUCAUCAUUACUAGGACAUGCUGGUUUGCUAGCUACAUCGGUGCAUCACAUUAAGAUUUCAAGGAUUUUCAUGAUUUAACUGUAUAGAAAAUUUAUGUUUGAUUGAAUCCAGGAACCUUUACACGAGGCCUAUUAUAAUCACUACAGGAUAUUAAUAGAUUUUGCAAUACAGGGUUUGGUGAGUUGCUUUGGGCAGCAAGCACACGCACCUCGUGCAUGAGCCGCAUGAGGGUGUCCUUUCUAAACCGCUGAGCAUUUUCUUCGAAUAAAUUCAACCAGGCACUUUUGCAGAAUGCUUGGGACUCUCCAGCUGAAUUUGUGGUAAUACAAGCAAGAGCAGAAUCGAAGUCUUCUUUUUCAAGCAUCAUGCAAAAUCUUUCUUUGACAAGAGGCGGAGGAGGAAUCCUAUCUUCCUGCUCCAAGUGCUUCCAAGUUAUUUCCAAAACUUCUCCCUGCAGUUACAAUGGGAAUUUAUAACUUCUCUUGAAUUGAAGAUUAGAAACAAAAAGAACACUAUUGAUGCUGUUUAAUCGUUGCCACUACACACAUACUACAUGUAUUUUUGUUUUUAUUAAUAUAGGCAUGAACAAUUCUUUAGUACUUAAUCUGAAUUCUGAGAUUUUACACUUCCUAAAAUUUUCAGAAUUCAGAAUUUUCUAACAGAUGAAUUACCUAGAAGCAUUUUACAAAGAUUGUGUCCAAAGUGUACUAAAAAGAUAAGUUCUUGUCAUCCCUCCUAAGGAAUUCAACAAGGCAUCCAUUUUAUUCCUACAAGUGCUUUUGACUGUUCUCAUAUAAUAGCACCUUGAAUCAGGCUAUUCAGUCAGGACGUAGAUGCAGUUUGGCAGCCAUUUUGACUGUUAUUUUUAUGGAAAUGCUAUUAACAUCCAUUUCAAUAAUAUGUUCACGUACAAGUGUAAUUUCAAAUAAUCACAAUAGAUUUGAGAAGUACCUUUCCAGCUCUAGAAGCAUCCAGUACCAUUCGAAGAUGACGGUUUGCAUUGAAGUGGAACCCAUGGCGCAACAUCUUUUGAUAAAUGUACUCAAAAUCAUCCCACCUGUUCUCUGCAAUGCUUGCAUCAAGCAUGGUGUUGAAAGUAUAGAUAUCUGGUAUUACCCGAAACUUGUAAUCAGAUUUUCUGCUGAUAUGAUUGCCAUCGUCUAACAACUUGUUGAAAAGCUCGUUUGCUUCUUCAAACAAUCCAUGUUCUAGAUACGCUUUCAGCAUUAUGUUGCAAGUAACAAGAUUUGGGGGGCAAAAGUUCCUCAUUUGAUUGAAGAUGUACACAGCGUUUUGAAUGUUUCCAGAGUCCAGACAAGCUUGGAUUAAGCCAGUGUAAGUUACUACAAGCGGCUUAUUAGCAACCUUGCAUAUUUUCUCAAUCUGUGAAAUGAAAAGAGGUUGUGAUGGACUGUUUGUUCAAAGAAAAGUAGUGGCAAUAAUAAGCACACAAAUUGUAGGUGGUUGAAGUGACACCAAACCUGUUGCAAUCUACUUGUUUAUAUCAUGGAGUUUUACAAAAGCAUCAAUGAGUGUACAAAAUAUAUAGCUUUAAAGCUUGCAAACUAUUAAAUGCCCAAAGAGACAUCCCAGCAGUUAGGAAAGGGCCCCAAUUGUGCAGCCCAAGGCUUCUUCAGUCUCUCAAUGAACCAAAGACCCACUUGCAAAACAUGCAUAUUCUUUGUGCAUUCAACAGUAUCAUAAACUGAAACCUUAACUGGGCAGGCAACAGUUAUCAAUACACAGAUUUUGCUUUUUGCAGUGAUAUAGCUCCCCGUGCUCAUAAACUCUAAUUAGCAACACACCAUUCAAUGCAUGCGGAUCGUUUAGCUACAAUACAGUGUUCUUUAUAUUCAGUUUUAAAUAUACAUGCACAACAGAAACAUAGUAGAUUAAGCAUAAAAAGAUUACCAGAUCUAGUGCUUCUUGACACCUUCCAGAUGUACAGAGACAGCGUGCAAGAUCAUAAUAAAGAGCAGCUGAGCCCACAAUUCCCCGUCUUUCCAUGUCUUUAACAGCCAACACAGCCUCUUCUGUCUUACCCUCUCUCCAAAAAGUAUUGACAAGAACUGUAUGUAACAAGAAUUUGAUUUCAAAAGGAGGUUCUAUAAAAUCAAAUGGAAGAAAUGAUAGAUCAGUCAAGCACCUUUAUAAACUAAGGCAUUUGGAAUGGAAGACUUCUGAACUUUUUUGAAGAACUCAUGAACCAAGUUGUACUUGCCACAAGCAAGCAUGACCUGCUCAAGUAUGCGGCAGAAAACCAUUUUAUCAUUUCCUGGUUAUUACAAAAACUAAGAUGUAUAUUCAAGAAAAUGAGAAUAUCUAGCAAACUGUUACCAGUUCCAUAAGUCCACUUUAUAAUACAACAUAAGGCUUUUCAUAGGAAACAUUUUUCUUGAUGGUAGGCAGGUCAAAAGGAUAGCUCAUGCUCCUAUGCUUUGACAAUGAUAUUUCACACCAAAACCACCCUAAAAGAUGCUAGAUUGAGCACCUAUCUUAAAGAGCAGAAAAUGAUGGGAAAUUAUCACUUCAUGAUGCUAUGAAAUGGUACCCCCUCUAACUACUGAAAACUAACAUUGGAAUCCAACAUUAACAGAUAGUAGAAACUACCACAUGAACACAUGAGAGUGAAUCAAGAUCAAACAACCCUUAGAAUUAUCUUAAUUGUGAAGUAUCAAGGUGCAGUCAUUUGAAUAUGAACCAUAAAAUUGAAUAUGAGAAACAGAAAGCCCAACCAGAGAAUUGAUAUUGUACAGCAAGUUCAUAUGACACCCUAUUCAACCAAACUGAUGUACCUAGGUUAGGUUACUAACUUCAUACUGCACAAAUCAAAGUCUUUUUUUCUAAAUUAAACCUUUAAUUUAGCACUGGGUAAAACCUGGGGUACGUUCAAACCUCUCAGCCAUCAUGCACCAGGCAACAGGUGAGAUGAAUCUCUGGACAACACCAAAGAGGUUUGUGGUAGGAUUUGAACCAAUAGUUCAUGAUGUACUUGUACUCAGAAACAAUAAGUCCAUGUGCUUAGAUUAGAAGUCUAGUUCUAUGAACAGCUCUAUGAAAGUUGAAAUAUGGAGUGAUAAUCAUAGUAGCAAGUCAGCAAACAUGACUAGCUGUUUAUCAGAAUAAUGAUAAACUCAUACAACAAGGUAUUGCUAAGAAUCUAAGAUACAGGUUCUGCUGAUGUGAAAUAUUGAUAAGAACCAUGGAUAGUAAAAACAGCUAUUACCUCCAUAACAAGUCCAUACGUUGCAGUAGAAGGUUGCACACCCUUUUCCUUCAUCUGCUGUAAGACCCAAAAUGCACCUUCCCAUUGUUUUCGCCGAACACAAGCAUUUAGGACCUACAUACAGAAGGAAUGUCAAAAUGCCGUGGAUGAUCAUAGCUGCAUUUAUGCAUUAUGUAAAUUGAAAUGAUUCACAGGUAAUUGAUUGAAUAUGCCAAGGGAAAUAGAUAAUGCAUGAUCAGCAUGUCAUGGCACAAGUCCAUCCUUGGUGUUAUACCCAAUUAGUGGGAAGAGAUGCAAUGGAUGAGAUAGUCCAAAUUCUUAGAAUGAUCUUAAGACUACGGAAAAUAUGCCCUCUCAAAACAAUAUACAGUAAUCAUUUUACUUUGCUGUUACAGGGACCACAAAGCACCCUUUCAGGUCAUCUCAAAUUUAACAAAGCAUGCUUAUCUGUUGAUAACAAGAUCAGUUCAUACCUAGAGAACAUGCAGAAAAACUAUAGAUUUUUAGAUAACAGAGAUAAGUCAAAACUCAGCUUAAUGGGUAUCAGUUAGAAAGGUGUAGAUUCCGUAAAAGGGAGUUGUCAUCCAAAAAUUUCAGAGGGUUAUUAUGUCAUCCAGCAUAAGCAUAAGGUGAUGCAAUAUACCUUGAUAACAGUUUUGAACUAUCAUGUAUUUCAGGCUGACUUUGAGCACAUGCCCACAAACUCAUGCAUGCAGAGUUAAUUACAUUUGACAUGCUUGGGACAACUAACAGUCAUCAAUAUGGGUUUUGAAGGAAAAAUUAUAGUGCAGAGGUUACAGACAAAUGUUUUCCAGAUAUAUACGGCUAGUUUACUGCCAAGUGUCACUAACCGCAUUGUAGACAACAAUAUCAGGUUCCAACCCUAGGUCCCGCUUCCCAAGCGCCCCAGAUUUGAACUUCUUGGGAGGAGAUCGCAUGCUAUCUAUGACAUCAAAAAGUUCCUUCAUAUAUCCUGCUUGCCCGAGAGUGACAGCUAUAGAACGAUAAGCUACUAGGUCAGGAUACAAACACAUUUCUUGCUGGAGAGAACAGGGGAAAAAAAGAAGAAGCAAUGACACAAGUCAGUGAGGAUUUCCUUUUAUAUUGUUCAAUUAAUAACCUUGUAUUAAAUGAGAAAGGAGCAAGGCAUCAGAUGAAAAUUCUUGAGCAUUACCUGCAUUGCAUGAAAUAAAUUGAGUGCCUCCACAGGUCUCUUUGCCUUGCCAAGUACAUGAAGUGCAGUUGUGUAAACAUGACUGUAUCAAGACAUGAUGAUUUACCCAAAUUACCAAUCAAAAUUUACAAUUUUGUGAACUAAUUCAAGAGAGGAUAAAAUUUUGGAUUGAGUGAAACUAUAUUUAGAAACAGAACAAGCUUUUUUUCUGCAACGUUAAAAGGUAAAAGAGUAUAUGUUGCAAAAAAGCUACACUCCAAAGAACUAAAGUGGGCUUCUCUUUCCUUACAGGACAUAGAUUCACCCUGCAGUAUGAUGAUGUUCAAUUUAAUCAAUUAUGUAGAACAAUCUAGAUUUUUUCUGGGAAGAAACUCUGAGAGAUUAUCUUUGAAAUUUACCAAGCAUCAAGAUAAAUUCCAUUGCUCCUUGAAUUUCAGUACUCUGUACUCUAGAAAGGUAUUUUCGUUCAUGCAUACAAACAGCAGUGCAAAGAAGAUGAGAAGAUGUUACCUUAGCCUGUGGGAUUUAUAGCGUUCUCGUAUGUUAAGCCACUCGAUAACUUGUAGCACUCGCCUCCAAUUGCCCAAUUUACCCAAUAUCUGGAUAAUCCUCAAUACAGAAUGAUCUGUAUAUUUAACUCUAGCACUACGCAUUGCCUUAGAGAACAUCCACUCAGGCAUAUCAAUAUCAGCACCAUUUAACCUGCCGAAAUGAGCUACUUCAACUUGGCAUGAUAAAUGAAUCAUCAAAGAUACAAAGAAUGAGACUGGUUCAAAUGAAGCAAUGAGCUACUUCAACUUGGCAUGAUAAAUGAAUCAUCAAAGAUACAAAGAAUGAGACUGGUUCGAAUGAAGCAUAGAAAAGAUAGAUGUACAUAUUUAAUGUAAGAGAACUUGUAUGUUCACAAGGUUAUUGACACAAGCACACAUGCCCACAUUGAAGAAAGAAUAGACAACUAUUAGAAAUUAGAAAGUUAAUUUGAUCUGAUGUAAAAUUGGGAAUAGACAAUUAUUAGGAAUUAGAAAGUUAACUUAUCUAUGAUGUAAAAUUUUUACCUAAACUUAAUAUCUAUGACUUGAUUUUAUACUGGUAUAUAAAAAUUACAUCUAAAAAUACAAAGAAAGGAUAUGCUAAAAAAUCCAAGACAAAGAAAACAAGAUUUGAAUUAGAAAUUAUGAGGAACAAAUUUCAUUCCUUGUAAAAUUAAAAAUUAUUAGGAAUUGCUAAAAAUAUUUAGAAUAUGAGCAUUUUAAGCACAUGGAUUUUGUUAGGAAUUCCACUGGAAUGCAGGCUCUCGAGAAUUACUUUCUAAAACAAAACAUCAUCCACACAAAAAGGCAUUCCCUUCAUUGAUGUCGUAACAACUUGUUCCUCCAUAAUUUGUUUACUUUUAUAUGAACUGUCCUGCUUUUUGGAAAGAACAAACCAAGUAAGAAACCAAAGGCACCCCUUGCCCCCCAGGGCUAAGGCUGUCCCACCACAACAAAACUGGUUGGUGUGACUGUAAUCUAAACAUGGAGUGAGGAGAAGGGGCACAUUAAUCUCUGGACCACUUGUUACAGUGGCAUAUCAGAGUCCAAUGAAUUCAAAAAUGUAUCAGGUAUCAGUACACAAAGUUGGAAAAAUAAACAGGUACGGAGACAUUGUAUUGGAAAUGCUUCUGUUGACAUGAAUCAGAUUGCUUUGCUCUGUUACAUGAAGACUGGUACAAUUACACAGCAUAGAUCAAAAUACAAAAUAGCUUAGCUACACAGAAUUUGCACACACAUGCCAAUAAAAUCUUGUUAGUUGUAAUGAAAGGAUAGUUAAAGUUCUGUUGAGCUUAUGAAGAAAAAAAGAGAGAAUAUAUAAGAGUAUAGAUUACACACCAGUUUCCUAGCUUCUGAAUCUUCUCCUCUAUUUUCCACAUCGGAACUUUUGUCUUGCCAAUAACAUCAUUGGAUUGCUCAAAGCUUUUAAAGGCAGCCCUUUCCACUUCAAAAUCCUCACCAUAUCCCCUUUCAAGAAAAGCCUGAUCACUUCUUUUUGAUAAUCCGUUUUUCUGCACAUAUCUCUUGUCAGUAAUUUUAUCAGCUUGACUAUGAUUCCUGACAAGUCCACCAUUCAUUUUGUUGACUCCAGAACCAAUGUUCUCUUCUUCAAAAGCUUUCCCCUUUAUUCCGAACAUAUCCAGGGAAUCUUUAGCAUGAGCAAGAUUUUCUUUUAAGCCAAUAGUUCUAUCAAUGCUUUCAACAUAUUCUAAUACCAUAGGACUUUGUUGAGCAAUUCGAGUCUUCAUACUCUUGGUUUCAUUGAA
rnacentral:lncRNA from 1 species